rnacentral:rRNA from 1 species
AACAAAUAGAAAAAUUCUUUUUAUAAUAAAAUUUAAAAAAUAAAUUUAAUUAUAUUUAUUAAAAAUUAAGGUGAAAUUUUUUUUUAAUUGAAUUUUGUAUAAAAUUAAAAUUCUUAUAAUAAACUAGGAUUAGAUACCCUAUUAUUUAAGAGCUUUACAUUGUAAGUAAAUAUUAAUUACGAAAGCAAAAAAUUAUGGCGGUAUUUUAAGCUUUUCAGAGGAAUUUGCUCUUUAAUGGAUAAAACACCUAAAUCUUACUUAAAUUUGUUAAGUCAAUUUGUAUACCACUAUUAAAUUAAUUAUUAAUUUUAAUUUAUAAAAUUUAUGCAAAUUUAAAAAAAAUUAAGUCAAGGUGCAGUAAAAAUUUAAGAAUGAAGUGAAUUACAUUUCUUUUAAGAGAUUAUUAAAAUUAAAAUUUUAAUUUAGGAUUUGAAAGUAAAAUUAAAAUAGAAUGUUAAUUUGAAUUAAGCUCUAAAAUAU